AUUAGUCUUGCUAGCAGUCUGUCAAUUUUGUUGAUCUUUUCAAAACCAACUCCUGGAUUCAUUGAUUUUUUGGAGAGUUUUUGUGUCUCUAUCUCCUUCAGUUCUGCUCUGAUCUUAGUUAUUUCUUGCCUUCUGCUAGCUUUCGAAUGUGUUUGCUCUUGCUUCUCUAGUUCUUUUAAUUGCGAUGUUAGAGUGUCAAUUUUAGAUCUUUCCUGCUUUCUCUUGUGGGCAUUUAGUGCUAUAAAUUUCCCUCUACACACUGCUUUAAAUGUGUCCCAGAGAUUCUGGUAUGUUGUAUAUUUGUUCUCAUUGGUUUCAAAGAACAUCUUUAUUUCUGCCUUCAUUUCAUUAUGUACCCAGUAGUCAUUCAGGAGCAGGUUGUUCAGUUUCCAUGUAGUUGAGCGGUUUUGAUUGAGUUUCUUAGUCCUGAGUUCUAGUUUGAUUGCACUGUGUUCUGAGAGACAGUUUGUUAUAAUUUCUGUUCUUGUACAUUUGCUGAGGAGUGCUUUACUUCCAAUUACGUGGUCAAUUUUUGGAGUAAGUACGAUGUGGUGCUGAGAAGAAUGUAUAUUCUGUUGAUUUGGGGUGGAGAGUUCUGUAGAUAUCUAUUAGGUCUGCUUGCUGCAGAGAUGAGUUCAAUUCCUGGCUAUCCUUGUUAACUUUCUGUCUCGUUGAUCUGUCUAAUGUUGACAGUGGAGUGUUGAAGUCUCCCAUUAUUAUUGUAUGGGAGUCUAAGUCUCUUUGUAAGUCUCUAAGGACUUGCUUUAUGAAUCUGGGUGCUCCUGUAUUGGGUGCAUAUAUAUUUAGGAUAGUUAGCUCUUCCUGUUGAAUUGAUCCCUUUACCAUUAUGUAAAUGCCUUCUUUGUCUCUUUUGAUCUUUGAUGGUUUAAAGUCUGUUUUAUCAGAGACUAGUAUUGCAACCCCUGCUUUUUUGUUCUCCAUUUGCUUGGUAAAUCUUCCUCUAUCCCUUUAUUUUGAGCCUAUGUAUGUCUCUGCUGUGAGAUGGGUCUCCUGAAUACAGCAGACUGAUGGGUCUUGACUCUUUUCCAGUUUGCCAGUCUGUGUCUUUUAAUUGGAGCAUUUAGUCCAUUUACAUUUAAGGUUAAUAUUGUUAUGUGUGAACUUGAUCCUGCCAUUAUGAUAUUAACUGGUUAUUUUGCUCGUUAGUUGAUGCAGUUUCUUCCUUGCCUCGAUGGUCUUUACAUUUUGGCAUGUUUUGCAGUGGCUGGUACCGGUUGUUCCUUUCCAUGUUUAGUGCUUCCUUCAGGGUCUCUUGUAAGGCAGGCCUAGUGGUGACAAAAUCUCUAAGCAUUUGCUUAUCUGUAAAGGAUUUUAUUUCUCCUUCACUUAUGAAACUUAGUUUGGCUGGAUAUGAAAAUCUGGGUUUAAAAUUCUUUUCUUUAAGAAUGUUGAAUAUUGGCCCCACUCUCUUCUGGCUUGGAGAGUUUCUGCCGAGAGAUCUGCUGUUAGUCUGAUGGGCUUCCUUUGUGGGUAACCCGACCUUUCUCUCUGGCUGCCCUUAAGAUUUUUCCUUCAUUUCAACUUUGGUGAAUCUGGCAAUUAUGUGUCUUGGAGUUGCUCUUUUCGAGGAGUAUCUUUGUGGCGUUCUCUGUAUUUCCUGGAUUUGAAUGUUGGCCUGCCCUACUAGGUUGGGGAAGUUCUCCUCGAUGAUAUCCUGAAGAGUGUUUUCCAACUUGGUUCCAUUUUCCCCCUCACUUUCAGGCACCCCAAUCAGACGUAGAGUUGGUCUUUUUACAUAAUCCCAUACUUCUUGCAGGCUUUGUUCAUUUCUUUUUCUUCUUUGUUCUUUUGGUUUCUCUUCUCGCUUCAUUUCAUUCAUUUGAUCCUCAAUCGCAGAUACUCUUUCCUCCAGUUGAUCGAGUCGGUUACUGAAGCUUGUGCAUUUGUCACGUAUUUUUCGUGUCAUGGUUUUCAUCUCUUUCAUUUCGUUUAGGACCUUCUCUGCAUUAAUUACUCUAGCCAUCAAUUCUUCCACUUUUUUUCAAGAUUUUGUUUCUUUGCGCUGGGUACAUAAUUCCUCCUUUAGCUCUGAGAAAUUUGAUGGACUGAAGCCUUCUUCUCUCAUCUCGUCAAAGUCAUUCUCUGUCCAGCUUUGAUCCGUUGCUGGCGAUGAGCUGCACUCCUUUGCCGGGGUAGAUGUGCUCUUAUUUUUUGAAUUUCCAGCUUUUCUGCCCUGCUUUUCCCCAUCUUUCUGGUUUUAUCUGCCUCUGGUCUUGAUGAUGGUGAUGUACUGAUGGGGUUUUGGUGUAGGUGUCCUUCCUGUUUGAUAGUUUUCCUUCUAACAGUCAGGACCCUCAGCUGUAGGUCUGCUGGAGAUUGCUUGAGGUCCACUCCAGACCCUGUUUGCCUGGGUAUCAGCAGCAGAGGCUGCAGAAGAUAGAAUAUUUCUGAACAGUGAGUGUACCUGUCUGAUUCUUGCUUUGGAAGCUUCCUCUCAGGGGUGUACUCCACCCUGUGAGGUGUGGGGUGUCAGACUGCCCCUAGUGGGGAUGUCUCCCAGUUAGGCUACUCAGGGGUCAGAGACCCACUUGAGCAGGGAGUCUGUCCCUUCUCAGAUCUCAACCUCCAUGUUGGGAGAUCCACUGCUCUCUUCAAAGCUGUCAGACAGAGUCGUUUGGCGUCUGCAGAGGUUUCGGCUGCGUUUGUUAUUGCCCUGUCCCCAGAGGUGGAUUCUACAGAGACAGGCAGGUUUCCUUGAGCUGCUGUGAGCUCCACCCAGUUCGAGCUUCCCAGCAGCUUUGUUUACCUACUUAAGCCUCAGCAAUGGCGAGCCCCUCCCCAGCCUCGCUGCUGCCUUGCCGGUAGAUCACAGACUGCUGUGCUAGCAAUGAGGGAGGCUCCGUGGGUGUGGGACCCUCCCGGCCAGGUGUGGGAUAUGAUCUGGUGUGCCUGUUUGCUUAAAGCGCAGUAUUGGGGUGGGAGUUACCCGAUUUUCCAGGUGUUGUAUGUCUCAGUUCCCCUGGCUAGGAAAAGGGAUUCCCUUCUCCCUUGCGCUUCCCAGGUGAGGCAAUGCCUCGCCCUGCUUCAGCUCUGGCUGGUCGGGCUGCAGCAGCUGACCAGCACCGAUCGUCCGGCACUCCCCAGUGAGAUGAACCCAGUACCUCAGUUGAAAAUCCAGAAAUCACCGGUCUUCUGUGUCGCUCGCGCUGGGAGUUGGAGACUGAAGCUGUUCCUAUUCGGCCAUCUUGCUCC
rnacentral:lncRNA from 1 species